rnacentral:rRNA from 1 species
GAUUAACGCUGGCGGCGUGCAUAACACAUGCAAGUCGAACGAUGAAACUUAAAUGAUUUCUUCGGAAUGAACUUAAGUGGCUUAGUGGCGGACGGGUGAGUAACGCGUGAGUAACCUGCCUUACACAAGGGGAUAGCCGUUGGAAACGACGAAUAAUACCCUAUGAAACUAUCACUUCGCAUGAAGCGAUAGUCAAAGUGUUAGCGGUGUAAGAUGGACUUGCGUCUGAUUAGCUAGUUGGUGAGAAAAAAGCCCACCAAGGCAACGAUCAGUAGCCGGCUUGAGAGAGUGUACGGCCACAUUGGGACUGAGACACGGCCCAGACUCCUACGGGAGGCAGCAGGGGGGAAUUUUGCACAAUGGGGGAAACCCUGAUGCAGCGACGCCGCGUGAUUUAGAAGGCCUUCGGGUUGUAAAAAUCUUUUGUAUAGGAAGAAAAUGACAGUACUAUACGAAUAAGGUCCGGCUAAUUACGUG